GAGGGUAUAGUUCAGAGGUAGAGCACAUGCUUAGCAUGCACGAGGUCCUGGGUUCAAUCCCCAGUACCUCCU
rnacentral:tRNA from 1 species